rnacentral:lncRNA from 1 species
AAAAAUAACAUUUUCCCAAUAUUCUUGUUGCUCACCACAAUCAUUUAUCCAACAUAUUGCUGAGUUGGAUUAGCAAUUAAAAUAGACAUGAACACACAGAUAAGCUUGAUUCAAUCAAGCUCCACAAGCCAACCCUAAACAUUUUGUCUUUUCAAUUUAUAAAUUUGAAAACCCAAAUAGACCCCAUUUUGAAACAAGA